rnacentral:rRNA from 1 species
UGGGGAAUAUUGCACAAUGGGGGGAACCCUGAUGCAGCAACGCCGCGUGAAGGAAGAAGGGAUUAGUCUCGUAAACUUCUAUCAAUAGGGACGAAGGAAAUGACGGUACCUAAAUAAGAAGCCCCGGCUAACUACGUGCCAGCAGCCGCGGUAAUACGUAGGGGGCAAGCGUUAUCCGGAAUUACUGGGUGUAAAGGGAGAGUAGGCGGCAUGGUAAGCCAGAUGUGAAAGCCCGCGGCUUAACUGCGAGGAUUGCAUUUGGAACUAUCAAGCUAGAGUACAGGAGAGGUAAGCGGAAUUCCUAGUGUAGCGGUGAAAUGCGUAGAUAUUAGGAAGAACACCAGUGGCGAAGGCGGCUUACUGGACUGAGACUGACGCUGAGGCUCGAAAGCGUGGGGAGCGAACAGG